AGUGCCUGGACUAAACAAAAGACACCCAAACAACCUUCCAAUCGGACAAAAAGAAAACUCAAAAAUCAGCUCAGGCUAACCCAAGAAAUCAAAGAUCACAAGAUCUUACAAGCUACCGAAAGCAAACAAGCAAUCUUCCUCAAGAAGGAGUUCAUAUAACCAAGAGGAAACCAAGCUUUCCUACGCAAAGCCAGAUAAGGUAAAAUCAGACAGAAUUCAAAAGAGAGUGAUCUCUCUUACAAAUUUGGUUCAGCAAAUUAAAUGAAACAAGUAGGAGUCAGGUAUUUCAUCAUAUGAAAAGCUGAACAAAUUUUGCAAAGACAUCUAUAAAAUGUCUUAAAGUUGUCCAGAUAACUCAGAACCAACCAGAACAAGUCCUUGCCGACAGUUCUGAUCACUUUUAAAGGCCUCUCUAUGGCCCAACUUGUUCAUAGCUCUGCCAACAUGGAACAAGACAGUGUUGGUCUCUAGAAUUCAAUGAUGAAAAUUUUCCUCUUAGGCAGUCAAUGUUAGUGCUGUGUUUGAUAGUAAUUGCCUUUUUAAUACUGAUAUUAUAGUAAUCUUAAACUGCCAUUCUGUUGUACAUUGUCUACCUGUUUAUUUGUUUGUUUUCAAUUAGUUUUUCGGCAAUCAAGUAUUCAUUUAUACAUGAUUGUCUGCUUUCUUGUUAUUUUUUGUUUUGGCGAAGCAGCACCAUAUGAUCCCAAGUACUGUGACGAAUGGAUAAGAAACAAUAGCCAAGCAAACGAGAGAAACAGACGCUAAAUCAUCUAGAUGGGCAAAUACAACCUCAGAUUCUUUCAUUGAAAUACUUGUCCUUCCUCUAAAUUGGUUUGGUGGCACUAGAUUGACCAAUGUCACAGGAGCAAUGAAAAUACUAAUGCGUUGCCCAAGCCUUCGCGCAUUCUUCCUUUUAGAAUCCUUUAUAGCUGCAUCGCUUUCAAGCUAACUAUAAGAAAUUCAAAAAAUUAGAUGCAAGUGGUUAUUGAUUACUGAUUACUUACUUUCGGUGGAUAUUGUAUUCAAACAAUAUUUGUAAUUAACGAGUUUGGAAACAAAAACAUUAGUUGGUUGCUAAUCAUGGAGGUAACAAAGUAUUGAUGUUCCCAUGUUUGAUCACCAAAGACUACUGCCUUCUUAAUGUCCGGGAUUGACCAAGUGGUGAGCGAAGAUGGAGAAAAGUGUUUA
rnacentral:lncRNA from 1 species